CUGUGUGUCAUCUGCUCUCCAACUGUGCAUCUCAAAGUGCACACAUUCAACGUUAAUUCUUAGUUCUUAUUGAGCCCACCAUCCCAGAGAUAAUCUGGGAUAAGAAACACGGAGCGGAGUCAUGUCAACAAAGUGUCAUCCUCAACUGAAAACAGCUCCCAAAGACUUGUGAAAAUGAAGACAGAAAUGUCUUCAUGCAUUUCAGAGGAGACAAGGAAAGAGUGAAAGUUUUUCUGCACUGAAGGACGUCCUAGAAUAAGGACAGCUGCCUGGGCUGAAGGAGUCAGCUGAACAGAAGAUCCUUUAGAAGAGGUCCUUGGAUUCCCAGAAAUAUACAGAUCAGAUGUUGAAAAUCACUGAACGGGGACACCGCACUCAAUUGGGAAAGAUGAGACAACAGUGGAUUAAAAAUACAGAAAAGAAAGUUAAGGCAUCCCAUCUUCCAGCACCCAAAGGGUGAAAGGCAGCUGCCAUUCGCCCCAACAGCAGCUGGAGAAGCCACAGCAAAAGAGUGUGUAAAGACACUGUGUGAAGAGUGUCAAAAGUGAAAGCCUCAGGGGCGAAGAGGGAAAGAAAUGACGUCACUGUAAUGGAAGCCUUUUCUACUUGUCUGUCUGUCUGUCAGCAACGACUUCUGAAUCAAUAAAUACCAGUCAGAAUGCACAAUUCCUGCUGACCUGCAGUCCCCCCUUCAUCUCUGGAGAAAAUAAACACGGGUUGUGGGUGCUGAGCAGCUCUGCCUUCUUCAGAGCUUCCAUUGUAUUUGUGUUUGUGGUGUUUCAGCCAGCAGCACCAGGCAGCGUUCAUUUGGUAGUCCCAGGAACUUGGAGGAAUUCCCCGGUUAUUAUGAGAUUAUCCCUUCACUGCAAAAUAAACGAUUCUUCACCAAUUCCAUCUCAGGGGUGUUCUCUCACAGAUGUCUGGGAGUCAGGAGGGGUCAGGACAGGAGGGACUUGACUCG
ensembl:lncRNA